GCUAUAGACCGCCAUGUUGUAGCGGUGAGGUGCUAUAGAACGCUGUGUUGAAGCGGUGAGGCGCUAUAGACCGCCGUGUUGUAGCGGUGAGGUGCUAUAGAGCGCUGUGUUGAAGCGGUGAGGUGCUAUAGACUGUCGUGUUGUAGCGGUGAGGUGCUAUAGAACGCUGUGUUGAAGCGUGUGAGGAGUUGCCGUGUCGAGCUAAUGCUCGAUUAACCUUAUUUUUGAUAAUCAGCUCUGCCGUAUGCUGAUCGAGUACCGUGUCUCGUGUCUGUUUUAAUCCCACCGCUAGCCACCAAUGUAACGAAAACGGGUCUCUCACUCUCUGGGUAGCGUCACUUCUUCAGUCAGAACCCGCUCUUUCUCUGUACUCGACGUUCUCACAAAAAAAUAUAUUGUGCAACAGACACUCUCAGAUCAGCUUACAAUCACUUAACUAAAUUAAGUUACCAACACAGGAAAUAAUAUGCACUUACAGAUCAAGUAAUGUUUCCAAGAACUUUAAUAAUCUGAACUUCCAAACAAAUUAAGGCACAACUUCCUUCUUCCGCAGCUCAACACAAAAUUGCCCACAAGAUUAACCCCACGUACACGCAUCGCAGUGCGCGACGUAACCAUAGCGACAUCUACAAUAACAAUAAACAAUUACAAUAACUAACGCCCUCUAAAGGCUAGGUAAUGUAAAUAACGAUUUCGUUACACUAU